CGCGUUCAUAAUGAAAUUAUUUAGCGUUGGCAAAUUGCUGUGUAUAACCAGCUUCAGGGUGAUAAUGGCCCUCCGCUCCAAGUCGUUGCUUAUUGUUCUAUAAGGGCACGCCCCAUUGUUUUUAUUCCUUCCUUAAUACAGUACAUGCACCCAUCAUCUUGGUUUUCUUGUAGGUUCAGGAAACGGUGUCUUAUCCAUUUGAUAAGAUUAGAAUUUAUUGUAAUUGUUUUACAUUAUUUAUUUGCAGAUGAUGACGACUUCCUGUGUGUGUGUGUGUUGUGUGUGUCAGUUUAAGUCGUUAUCAGUGUGCGUGAACAUCACCAGCAGAAUUUACUCUCAUGUGCGACUGUCUUUGGCAUCCAGUAAUGCCUCCACACCUGUACUCGGUCAGAGCUGUGCCAUAGCCACGCCCACAAACAGGUGUCUACGUACAUCACAACGCCUCUGUCUCCUGUAACGCACGCCGGUGCAGUGGAACGUCCUGCAUCUCUGCAUGCUCCUAAUCGGUCUCUCCUGCAAUCAAGGUCAUCCAGAGUUGAAGGCAUCGGCGAAGGCCCUGGCUCGCUCCCUACACAAACACACCUGAUUUGCGUUAAUCAAGAUCCAGCAGCGAGGCUUUAAGUAGAAUCAGAUGGAGGAACCGAGGCUGAAGGCGUACAGUCGAGCGGAAAAAGAUCAGAUUUUCCUAACAGCUUUCCCCAGCCAGGUAUCAUACCUUUUUUCUAACCCAACGCUUUAGGCGCGAUGAUUACAUCGGUGUACGUGUGCACGCAAUUCGAUCUGUUCUGGAGGAUUGUGGGUAAUUAAAGUCGAAGUAACGGCAGUAUAUUCGUG
ensembl:lncRNA